ensembl:lncRNA MSC-AS1 MSC antisense RNA 1
ACUCACCGAGCCCGUGGACAUCCCGUUGUCCCCCUUGCCCACACGCGUCCUCUUUCCUCCCCCCUGGCCAGUCUCGCUGUCUCCGCCUUCCGCUCCCUGGCGGAGGCGGAGGCCAGAGAGCGCUCCAAGGAAGACUAAAAACCCAGGCCGGGAAGCGCGGGGUGAGAAAGCGAGGUGGGUGGCGAGAGCGUGAGCGCCCCUCUGCUGACCCCGGGGAGCGUGGACUACGAGUUGGCGCCCAAGUCCAGAAUCCGCGCGCACCGCGGAAAAUAUUUGCAAUACCUGCCACGUCCAAGGUUCAGCUGAGGCCAAUGUAAAGCCAGUAUUAUAGGACACUUCUCAGACUGAGAGCCCAAUGUCGUUGGAAACCACUGGGCCACAGGAAAGGCAGACUUCAAAUCAUCCCAACACCAGAGAACACUAAAUGACAGUGGACAGGAAGACAGUGUACCUUUUGCUCCUGAUGAUCACGGUGCUUCCUGAAGGCCCUGGAUUGUCGUAUUCACCUGCUCAUCUCCAGCACUUAACUCAAGACCCCCGUGGAUCCAGGAACUGGCAUAGGUGCACUCAGCAACGCUUUGGACACUGCCAUGUGAGGGUUUAAUGCCUGGAUCUGUGCCAUGAAGCAAACAGGAGGAGAAUGAAAGCUGGAGCACUUAGCAGGCUAGGAUUCCAGUAUGGUCUUGAACAGGAGUGAUGAUGGGAAGCUCACUCUUGAAUUAUUUCCUAAGCAAAGCCAAGAAGCUUCCUGGGCUAAGCCUGCUCUGCAUCAAGUAGUGCCCAAUGUGGAGCUGAGGAGAGAAGACGAUGGUGUGACAGAUGGUGAGAGAAUUGGCAGUUGGCAGUCGGCAAGGCAAAGGCAAA